rnacentral:rRNA from 1 species
AGAGUUUGAUCCUGGCUCAGGAUGAACGCUGGCGGCGUGCCUAAUACAUGCAAGUCGAGCGAACCACUUCGGUGGGAAGCGGCGAACGGGUGAGUAACACGUAGGUGAUCUGCCCAUCAGACGGGGACAACGAUUGGAAACGAUCGCUAAUACCGGAUAGGACGAAAGUUUAAAGAUGCUCCUAGCAUCACUGAUGGAUGAGCCUGCGGCGCAUUAGCUAGUUGGUGGGGUAAAGGCCUACCAAGGCGACGAUGCGUAGCCGACCUGAGAGGGUGAACGGCCACACUGGGACCGAGACACGGCCCAGACUCCUACGGGAGGCAGCAGUAGGGAAUCUUCGGCAAUGGGCGAAAGCCUGACCGAGCAACGCCGCGUGAAUGAAGAAGGCCUUCGGGUUGUAAAAUUCUGUUAUAAGGGAAGAAAGGUGAUAGGAGGAAAUGACUAUCAAUUGACGGUACCUUAUGAGAAAGCCACGGCUAACUACGUG